UAACAGCUAGUUCUCACAUCUUAAUUUCAUCUAUAUCUCCAAGGUCUUGUGACUGGUUAGGAAAGUCCUCAGCACAACUUAGAGAUAAUGUAAUUAAGUUGCUUGAAUAGGCCACCCCAGCAGAGCAGUGACAGAGCUGAGAUAACGAGGUCUCAGAACAACCCAGUCUAGCACUCUAACCUUUAGACAAUUCCAUUUCUCCUUCACAGGUUUAAUUACUUUAAUGAAAAUGAUUGCUCAGCUCAAAAAUAUGCAACCUCUGAGUUAAGACUAUCUGAACCACAGAACUCAAUUAUUUUUAAAUGGUAUGACAGAAAUGAUAAUUAAAUCUGUUCCCAUAUAAUAAUGAUGAGAAAUGUUUAGUACUGCCUCUUACUGUCAAGUUAGAACAGACAACAAAUUUUGCUCUUUCUGUUUUACUAAGCUUAGUAUAUUUUUCCAAAAAUGUUUUAGGUUGAAGUCCCCUGGUCUCCAGACACAAGUAUCUACUUUGCUACAAAAGCACACCUGGAUAUAUAAGAGCAGUAAAGCAAGGUCACCUUCCUUUGCCACAAGAGGAAUGGGAUGGCAUGUCAGGGCUUUUCCCAGUGGUGAAACAGGAUGUACAGCAGGGAUGUACAGAACUCUUCUGCAACCACUACAUCUGCAACCCUGUUUUGAGAAUGGCUCCAAUGCCUUGAAGAAAAGCACUGUUACUGAAGUUUGUGUAUGACUAUGGAAGAAGAAAAUUUCUAGAGAAAAAGAUUCCCCUUGCUCCCAGAAUCUCCAUUUUUCUCCUGAGGAAUUCUUUUAGAAUCGUGUUUGUUGCAUCUCUUGCAACCCAAAGAACGCCUGAAGGAGAGAAGCCUGGCAUUCUCCCAAGCUUUCAAGUGAUGUAGUCCCGUGGGAGUGUGACUGAGACAGCCCAAUGACUCACACAAUUUGAUGGAACCAAUCAUCCACCAGAGGCUCUGCACAUCCACAUUUGGGAUCUCUAGAUCUUUCUUUUUCUUUGCUAGUUUUCCCAGUUGCUUCGCUCCCUGAAUGAGCUGGGAGAGGCUGCUGUGGUGUUCCUGCUGGGUUUGUGCAGAGCAGUGGCACAGCUGGAAUCCCUCACAAAGAAGGCACGUGGCCAAACCUAAAGCUGCUCCUACUGCAGGUACCCUAAACAGGAGCUCAGCUUGGGCUGAAUGUGUUCACCAACUCAAUGCAGGAGCAACCAAGAAGUGGCAGGGGUGCCGUUGCCUGGGGCAGCUGAGGGCAACAGAAUCACCACCACUGGCCCUGUUCCAGCCUGGCAGUGCCCCUUACUGGUGCCACCAGCAUUGAGAACUCUGCUGUAUGGCAUUUUCGAAAUGAGAAUUUUAGAUUUUGAAUCAGCUGUUACCUCAUGUGAGCUAUACAACACUACAGAUGGAUUAAAACACGUUUGGCACACUGCAGAAAUAGGUUUUAUAUAAUUGAUAAAACCAUGAAAGUACAGAUUGUCUCUGCCAGCUGCCACAGCAGCUGAAAUAAUCUGUGACAAUUACACCAGUCAGGAAACUUCACUAGCACUGAAAAAUGUGACCAAGCCAAAAAUGCUAAAAAGCCAUGGGAAUAGGUUUGUUACAGCACUGAAAGAUGCACUGUAAAAAAGACCAAUGAACCCAACAAACAAAAACCCACCACCACCACCAAAACCCCAAAACAAACCACCCCAAAGCCCCAAAACAAACCACCCCAAAGAACCCAAAACAAACCACCCCAAAGAACCCAAAACAAACCACCCCAAAGAACCCAAAACAAACCCAAAAACCAGGGCAAGCACCAAAGAGCUUGGAAUUAUAACAAUUUCCAGUGUUACUGUUUUCAUCUAGUUGAGCAGCUAAAGACACCGUUCCUCACCCUGCACUGCGUUUUGCAUCACCAGAAAUCUCAGGGAUUCAGAAGAAGAUGAUGACGGUUCCUUUGACAAUGUUUAUGGUCUACCUCAAAGGACUUUCCUUUUUUAUUUUUAAAAGGAUUGGUGUCCAGCUGAAAUGUUGAACUAUUUAAAGAAGUAAGAAGAGUGACUUCCACUAAGACUAAUCCUUACUCAACAAAAACAACUUACUUAUUUACUGCCAUACAUUCUAACUAUAAACUGUAGCUGUUAAUUUAUCAAUAAUUCUCUGCAAUCAUCUUUAAACUGAUUAGCAUUUUAUUUUCUGCUAAUGCUAAUAUACUCUCUGGAUGAUGCAGAUUUACCACAAGGUCAAAACAAGGCUGAGCCAUAACAAAUAGUGGUAUUGCUUUUCAUGGAUGAAAUUCAAUAUCAGAUGAUUUAUGGAUGGCAGAGUGUAAAUAUUGCUGCCCAUGUUAGAUGGGAUAUCCUACUCCUCAUCUGGCUCUUUCUCUUGGGAGUUCUAGUGGCAUGUUAAGGACAUCUGCUUAUGUUAGAAGAAAAAUAAUCCAUUUCCUGGAGAAACUAUCAUUACCCUCCCAUUCAAGGACAGUAAUGCUCUCCUACAUCUCAGGAAGAAGUAAGUGCUUCAUAAUUCCCUCAGAAAAACAAAUUAUAUACUAAUUGAAAACAAAACAAAAUCCUAAAUGUAGAGUGCUGCAUUUAUUUUUAUUCAAGUAUCUCUUAUAGUUCUAGCUCAUUUCUUCAGUUAGCCAUGACAUUUCUGAACUCUGAUCUUAUACACCAAGAUACAAGUUCAAUAACCAUUUUCUCUUUCCAUCUUUCAAGCUGUUUAUGAAAAUAUUGAAUACUGAAUUUCUUAUGACAAGAAGUGUGCUUGUGAAUCUCACUGUGUUCUUCUUCUCUUUAUAUUGCCACAUAAAUGGCAAUAUAUAAGACAUAACUACACAGAAAUUAUUUAGCCUGCUUCUAUCUCUUGUAUCUAGACCAUACAAUCUAGAAAAUAUAUGAGAUAAAAGCCUUAUUUAAGUCAAGAGGUGGUGUGUGCUGCUUCUGUGCCAUGGACAACUGUUUUCCCCAUCACAAAAGUAAAUAUUGAUUUGACAUGAUUUACUUCUGACUAAUCUGUGCUGACUCUUGCUCAUCUCCACUCACACAAAGCAUUUGUUUUGGUAUCUUUCUGACAGUUAAAAUAUUUACUGUAAUCCUGUUUUCUUACUAGAAAGAACCCAAAACUGAAACAAUAACUUCCUAAUUCUGGAAGAGUGUCAUUAAAAGGAUAAUGUAAGGUACUCAAACCAGUUUUCCAAAUAGUACAAGAUGAAUUUUCUAAUUUGGUUAAUUUAACUUUCUACAUGGUUUGUUCUUUAGUGUAACUUCAGGUCUAAAAAUUUUUCAGCUGCAUACAAUGAAGUUUCUUUGUGAAAACUAAAGAAAAAGACAUCACUAAAAUUUCCUUUUUCAAUACCCCUCAUAAGAAGGAGAAUUUAAAGACUUCAGAUAAGUAUGAUCAAAGUCUAAGAGAUCUUGUGAGAUUAUGAUACUAAAUAUUGGGAUCCAUCUACAAAUUAUUUAAUUGUAAAUUCCUUAAAGAUGUCCUUACAAAGAUCACCUCUUGUGGAAUACAGAAGUAUUCCUAGAAGAUGAAGCUGAUCACUGCUGUGAUCACUGCCAGAUGCUCCUUUUAUAUGAACAACUAAUAAUUUACCUUAAGCAUGAGGAUGGUGGCUCAGAUGUGAUUUAUGGGGAAAAAAAGAGAUUAAAUAUUAAAAAUGGCAAGAUAUGAAUGAUUUAGUCAAGGCAGCAAACGACUUCCCUGUUGGGCUGUAAAUCUGGGUUCUGAAACUGUUUCAGAGGAACAGUGUACAUGCAUUCUGAAAGACUUUGAAUCUUUUUCUAUAUUGCAUUACACGUCUCAGCAACAUGCAGACAUCUUCCAAUACCUCAAGUAAGCAAAACUGGUGUCAGUAUUACUAUAUUUGCAGUGCUACAACAACAGGAGCUAUUUCUGAAUACUCUCACAGCAGUGAAUUUAUCCAAAUUUAGG